rnacentral:rRNA from 1 species
AGUCCUACGGGGCGCAGCAGUGAGGAAUAUUGGUCAAUGGGCGAGAGCCUGAACCAGCCAAGUCGCGUGAGGGAAGACGGCCCGACGGGUUGUAAACUUCUUUUGUCAGGGAGCAAGAACGGAUACGUGUAUCCGAGCGAGAGUACCUGAAGAAAAAGCAUCGGCUAACUCCGUGCCAGCAGCCGCGGUAAUACGGAGGAUGCGAGCGUUAUCCGGAUUUAUUGGGUUUAAAGGGUGCGUAGGCGGACUACCAAGUCAGCGGUACAAUUGCGGGGCUCAACCCCGUC